rnacentral:piRNA from 1 species
UGGUCCCACGAGAUGCUAUGACUAGGAU